UACGGAGGAUGCGAGCGUUAUCCGGAUUUAUUGGGUUUAAAGGGUGCGUAGGCGGCGAGUUAAGUCAGCGGUAAAAGCCCGGGGCUCAACCCCGGCCCGCCGUUGAAACUGGCUGGCUUGAGUUGGGGAAAGGCAGGCGGAAUGCGCGGUGUAGCGGUGAAAUGCAUAGAUAUCGCGCAGAACCCCGAUUGCGAAGGCAUCUCACGAAUCCGCUAUUGACGCUGAUGCACGAAAGCGUGGGUAUCAAACAGG
rnacentral:rRNA from 1 species